AGUUGUUGCAGUUAAAAAGCUCGUAGUUGGAUUUCGGGUGCGUCGACGCGGUCUGCCUCUGGUAUGUACUGCGCUCGGUGCACCUUUCUGCCGGGGACGGGCUCCUGGGCUUCACUGUCUGGGACUCGGAGUCGGCGAGGUGACCUUGAGCAAACAAGAGUGUUCAAAGCAAGCCUACGCUCUGAAUUUUUUAGCAUGGAAUCACACGAUAGGACUCUGGCCUAUCUUGUUGGUCUGUAGGACCGGAGUAAUGAUUAAGAGGGACAGUCGGGGGCAUUCGUAUUUCAUUGUCAGAGGUGAAAUUCUUGGAUUUAUGAAAGACGAACUUCUGCGAAAGCAUUUGCCAAGGAUGUUUUCAUUGAUCAAGAACGAAAGUUGGGGGCUCGAAGACGAUUAGAUACCGUCGUAGUCUCAACCAUAAACGAUGCCGACUAGGGAUUGGCAGGUGUUCCAUUGAUGACCCUGCCAGCACCUUAUGAGAAAUCAAAGUUUUUGGGUUCCGGGGGGAGUAUGGUCGCAAGGCUGAAACUUAAAGGAAUUGACGGAAGGGCACCACCAGGCGUGGAGCCUGCGGCUUAAUUUGACUCAACACGGGGAAACUUACCAGGUCCAGACACGGGGAGGAUUGACAGAUUGAGAGCUCUUUCUUGAUUCUGUGGGUGGUGGUGCAUGGCCGUUCUUAGUUGGUGGGUUGCCUUGUCAGGUUGAUUCCGGUAACGAACGAGACCUCAGCCUGCUAAAUAGUCACGGGUACCUUGGUACACGCUUGACUCUUAGAGGGACUAUU
rnacentral:rRNA from 1 species